ensembl:lncRNA
GUGGAUUUGACACCUCAGACUAGUUAAUCACCAGAGGGGCUUCACAUGCCAUCAGAAGUUCUUUGGAUGGGAAAGCAGCCUUCUUGAGGAACUGAAACAAGAAAAAGUAGAACUUUACUACAUGAAAGUGAUUGUUGGAUAGCAGUUUUCCUCCUGCCUCAGUUUCUUUCAAAGCUCAUUUCUAGAUUCUUCUCUACCUCAGUGCUAUAAGGAGGAAUUAAUUUAAUUCAGUAUUCAGUCAAUUCAGUUCAUCUCUUGCCAG